rnacentral:lncRNA from 1 species
GGGGGGGGAGAAAAAAAAAAAAAAGAAAAAGGAAAAUAACUUUUGAAAUUGUCCUGGCAAGGCUGCCCAACAGCAGCGUGUUAACUGCAUCCCUGAUCUGCUCUAUUUAGCAGUUGUAAAGCUACUAUGCUUAAGAUUUCGGUGUUAUCCAUUUAAAACAGACACCCGUUUUUUGGAAUAAGGAACAAUGCCAGCAUGAAACACGCGGAAUAUUUUGUGAAAGAGGCUUUGGGAUCUCCGAUGUUUUUUGACAGUGAAAUCCUAAGGCACGUCUCUCAGUGGAUGUCUCUGUGUCCCAUAAUGGUCCGCACCCUCAAACCCGGGCAGGGCGGCACGGCGGCACGUUCUGUGCUUACUCAGAAAGUCCCAGGUUUGAAUUAGUAAGAUGCAAAUUCUGAGAUCCGAAAGACUGAUGUUCCUACAAGCAGAGCGCAGGCCUGCAAAAGGGUAACAGCUUACAGCCAAGAAGAUUUCAUCUGCCCUAUGUAUGCACCAUCCCCUUGCAACUUGCUUAUCACCUUGUACCUGCACUGUCCACCCAGAGUGACCAAGCCUUCUUUCCACUCCAACCCUCUACCUUAGCUGUGACCCAGAUGCACACACACAGCUUCACAGGGAUGAAGCCCAGAGGAAAGCUGGACGGAUUCUUCUGCAUCCACCUGAGACAUCGCCGCGCUGGCAGUUCUCCAAGACAAGCUCCAGAGUCAGCUGGGCAUGGUGAUUCUUGCCCAUGCCCAACCAUAGAUUUCCAAAAAGCAUUUCACAUGCUUCACAGAAAAAACAGCCUGGGUAACAGGAACUAAUCCUUACGUGUUAUACUCAGCUUGGGCAACAUUUAAUUUGAACCAAUUUUUUUAAAAGUUCUGAUUAAUAAUAAGAAAUUAUGCUAUACUUGCAUGGUAUUUAAAUUAUAAGACUGGGCUAGGGAGAAUUCAGUCUUAUUAUUAGGUAUAGAUGUAUAUCUGUUGAGGUCAAAUAAUCUUAGUUCAGCAUCCACAGACUCUGAAAUUCUACUGACAACAUGCAGCAGAGCAAGGAAAGGUGUAAGAAUUCAGAGGCCAACUUGAAAACAUAGACUCAUUUGUUAGUACAGCCUUAUUAAAAAGAACCAGUUGAGCUUCGGUUGUUAGCUUCGACUUUGGAGGUAAUUAGCUGCCAAUAAAAGCCAAGAACACCAUUCA